GCCAGGCACAGUGGUGUGCGCCUGUAGUUCCAGCUACUUGGGAGCCUGAGGUUCGAGGAUGGCUUGAGCCCUGGCGUUCCGGGCUGUUGUGCAUAUGCCAAUCAGGUGUUCGCACUAAGUUCAACGUCAGUAUGGUGACCUCCUGGAAGUAGGGGGCUGCCAGAUUGCCUAAGGAGGGGUGAACUGGCCCAGGUCAGAAGCGGAGCAGGUCAAAACUCCCGUGCUGAUCAGUGGUGGGAUCAUACCUGUGAAUAGCCACUGCACUUCAGCCUGGAUAACAUAUCGAGACCCU
rnacentral:SRP_RNA from 1 species